ACACAGUCACUUGCGACUUGGUGUUUUACGACGAUUUGUACGACCACUGUACUCUAUGCCUUCACAACGUUUACGUGAUUCCCGUGGCUGAAACUCUGCUUUGCUAAAGGUCAUCGUCAGUUAUAUAGAAUUUAUAUAUAGUGCCCAUCCCCAAAGGUUUUAUCAGACAGUGUCAACCGAGCAAACAUCAAACGAGGUUCUGCGACGAGCAAAAGCUCUUCCUGCGAAAGGCGCUUCUUGUUUGUUAGUGGGUAAUCAAAAAACAUUUUGAUGAAAUUAAUGAACACCUGCUGGGUAAGUUUGAUAAACCAUUUUUAAACUUUCCUUAAAGUUUAAGUUCGAGCAGUGCUCUCUUUGUUCUAUCAAAACCGCCAUCCAAUAAUCUGUACGUAUAAGCUACGAUUGUCACGUUCUUCAUAUCAGAUUUUAGGAAUAGUAUUAAAUCAUUUGUUUUGAUUACUUCCAGAAAAUGCCUAACAGGCUUCCAUUGCACAUCAAUUUUUCAUUAAAAGAAAUACUCUAAACUGCAAAGAUAAUUACAAUUUGCAUCGCAACAUUUUAUACUGCGGUUCCCGGUAAGGCAAAAUAAAAGGACCAUCAGCUCAAAUGCAAUGGAUCUGAGCUCGAUGUGUCAACGCUCGAACAUCAUUUAAAAUCUACAUCACAUCUUGGCAACGUCUUUUUGUGCGAGAGGACAUUCAGCUCAAACGCGAAAAAUCUAGAUCCGGAAUAAAACAUAAGUCUUCCAUUUUAUGUCUAAAAACGGCUUGCUUUGAAUUUCAAUCGUAUCACAAUUGAAGACUUUUUCCAUACAUUUUUUUCGAAGCCAGCAACACGAACCACAGCCGAGAUCACGGAAGGCUGUCAAACGCUUACAGAGCUUCAUGUAUUACUUCAUAAUUGAUACGAGGUGUUUGCAUCGUAUGUUCUCAAAAGCCACGCAAUAUCGGAUUUGAAUCUUCGUGCCGAAGUCCUAGAUCCUCCAUUCCGUUAAUGUUGUGAGCCAAUCCGCUCGACAUAAUCCAGGUAAGGCUUUAGGUAUUAGUUUUAAGUUCUCCAUAAAGCUACUUACGGAAACCCUCGAUCUAAAUCCUUUGUAGAGCACAGAACCUUUAAGCUUUAGAUUACAGGUCCUUUAUGGCUCGGAUCACCUAAUUCCUCUGUUGUUGAUGUUUCGACAGCAACAUUUCUAGCCAAUGAAUUUGAAACUUCUCACCACUGAAAGUCAAUCAUUAGCCGAUAAAAAAAAAGACGCAGUGUUCAGUGUAUGCUGGGUCGUAUAUUUUGUUCUCUAUGAGCUGCGAGGUUCCUAUUUACGUUGAGCCUGCUCCGCACCGGCCAAAACCAAACGGAUGAACAAGAUGAACACAGUUGUACAAAUGCCACCCUUCAACCAUUCAACUUUUGACGGCUUGAAAAUGAAUUGCCUAAAACAAGUUUGGCAGUAUGCAGCGCGAAUUACAUUUUUCAAUAGAACUCUGAUCCUGGUUGCGUGCAAUAUGGCCCGUUUUACCUGUACGAAUAAUACUACCCAUUGCACCCGUAAAAAAAGUCGAAAGCAAAGCGUAGACUAUGGUUGGACUUCUCAAGGUAUCAACGAUCCUGUG